CGGCGGCCGUGCCCUACGAAGGGCCUGGGCCGGGCGCGCUGGGAAGCGGCGGGGCUGGAGCAGGCGGAGGGUGAGUGACGGCGGGGCGACGCUCAGCGCCGUCUUCAGUGGGAAGCGAAUCAGCCGUAGGUGGGAAAUUAGGGUCACAUCUCCGAUCUCCCGAGAUUACUCCAAACUACAUAGCUGCUCAUCAGUUCAUGCAAAUUUUGAAUACUGCUCUAUGCUGAGAAAUGACUACUGACCAGACAAGCCACCCCCUUGCAGGAGGGAAGGAAAAAAACAAGAACCAUCAAGAUCAUCAGUGAUACCAUUUAAUGCACUUCUGGAAUGCGUUCAGAUAACACACCACGAAGGCAGAACACAGUGUGGCCAGGAGCGUGACUGGGCCACAAAUAAUUCUGUACAAUGAUCUUGCAGUGAUAUUAACAUUCUAGUUAGUCACUGCUAUUAGGGUAAACAUACUAAAAAAUGAACCACAUGAAGAAUUUCAUAACCUCAAAAUUCCAGAGACCAUGAGACACUUCGGUGUUCAUACUGCCCAUUAUGCUCUGAAUGUACAGAGAGUGUAGAAUAUGGGCUAGAUAGAAAAGGACAAAGAUACCAGCAAACAAUAUUCAGAAUCAACUCUUUAAUAAUUUAACUGUAUACUUCAGAGAGCAAAACGAUGUAAGCAACAUGGGAAUUCCCACCAACUGUGCUUUGUUUAGUUUAUUUCACUAAGCAUUUGUUUUUUUUUGGUGUCAAAGCAUAUAAAAACAUUAAAAGAAUCAGUUGCCUACAACUUUUAGGAUAGCAUCCAUGACAGUGGGCAGGAACCUCCCAGUACCUCAUCUUUCUUAUCGACUAUAUUGUAAUUCGGCUGAAGCAGUUGUGUAUCUGCCACAUUCCAGGUCACCUAUAGACAAGACCUACUGCGUCAACUGAUUGAGCAGCCAGGAAGAAAAGCCCUUUCCAUUAUGAAUGUUAUGACACAAGAGUUAGAUGGUUUAUUUCCUCAUUUAUCAGAAAUAGAAUCAAAUAUAAGAGCAUAAAGAAAUGAAGAGAUGCAUUCACAGUGCUAUAAAAACUUACUGAAAUACAUAAAUCUGGCUGUAGAAGGGGCAUUAUUUCUCUGUUAGCUACCCAUGUGUAUAUGGGAAUGGAGACUACUGGAAACAAGCAGAGUUGAAUAAAUGAUUUUUUCACAUAGCUCUGAAGUUUGUAUUCAUUCUUAUUCAAUAUAGAAGAAAGUUCAU
ensembl:lncRNA